GAAAAAUAUUUAUGUCUGUGGAUGUUGAAUUCAGUCAUAUGAGAGAGUUUCUUCUUCAAUAAGGAGUACAGAGAAAUCCCAAGCAUGAAUGAAGACAUCAACUGGUAAGGCAGCUUCUGUACCAAAAGAAAGAAAAUGGCUUCUGGAGUAUGAAACAUUUGAGGCAGAAGUAAAUGGCAUUACUCCUGCUUGCAUCACAAUUAAGACUGGAAAAACAAUCAGAAAGACAAUGAAAUGCAGAAGGAAUGAAUUUUCAAAAACAUCUCCUACUGUUGUGACCCAGUCCUCUGUGGUGGUUUUCUGAUGGACCAUGACUUGCUCUUGGAUUCUGCUGACUGGGUGAGGUUGAAUACGUGCAAUCUUGAAUAAUACCUAUGUAAGGAACAACGCUUCUCAGCAGAACCAUUUUCAGUCAUUCGGAACAGUCUCCACCUAACUGUUGAAUUCCAUGCUCAUGUGGAAUUUCCCCACAAAGAUACACACAGACUCAUGUUCAUACAGUCACAAAAAAGAAGUGAUGUGCUAUAGAAUUUGCUUGAUGUUUAACUUCAGGAUGAGCAGAACAGCUGAGGCAAAGGACAUGUUCUUGGCUCCCUACUGAAGGGCACCUACAGAAUCUGAGAGUGGAUUCACUAGCAGCUCUGCUGAUGCCAUCUGGAAAUAGAGGGUAGGAGGGGAGUAGGUCCACUCCAUGCUUCCUGCAGUCCAUAUUGCUAUUAUUUGUACUUAACACAUACCUCAAGAUAUGCAAGGAAUAUUUUUUAUUGAUAUACAUAUGCAGACAUGUUGUGCUACAGUAUAAGCUCACUGUAUUUAUCCAGAAAUUAUUCAUCUGAUCCUCUAUCAACAUUCAGCUCUGAGACUGUUACAAUAUUGUCUGCCUAUUCUAUGCAUGAGUAGGAGGAAAACUGGACCAGUGAGGCAAUAUCUAACUAAGACACCUCUUCAGUGAUCAGGGAGUGUAAAUCCAGGUUAUUUUCAAAUAUGAGUUUUGUGGUAUUUUAAAUAAAAAUACAAUUUUAGUAAUGUAAAAUUAUGUCAAAUACAUAAAACAAGAAUAUAUCAACCAGACAUAAUUAGUUUACCAGAAGAGCUUGAUGUGCUCUUCAAUUAUGAGAAUGGUGAAACACAGGUUCCUUUUUAGAGCCUUUGAUGGGAUAUAUGCUGUACUUUGGUCUACCUUAAAUAGCCAUUGGAUCCUACUGUUACUCUUCCAAAGUGGGGCUUUCACUGUAUAUUUUCUGGCAAUAUAUCAACUGAUUAUGUGGAGGCAAGUUUAACUAUCUGAGUCACCUGUAGUCAUUCACACUUGUUCUCACUUUUCAUAUUAUAUGUUAUCAAUAGCUUCAUCAGUAAUAGGUGUUUGCUUUUGUAUGUGUGAUGCUUCUGUUUUCGUUAUGCUUUCUGUCACCAACAAUUGUUUUCUCUAUGUGUUGCACUUUCCUUUCUUCAGGAAAAUGGAGCUGCAAAGAACUUACAAAGUACCUAUUACUCUCACAUAUGCCAAAUAUCUGUUCUGGUCUGUAUACUUCAUGAAUGUAUAAUCUGUAGCAGAAAUAAAUGUGUAUCAUUUUUAAGAGUAAUAUGGAUUGCAGAUAAAAUUAAAUAUUU
rnacentral:lncRNA from 7 species